rnacentral:rRNA from 1 species
CGCACGCAUCCCUGUUAGUGGGGGGAACGUUCGGAACGGACGCUAAUACCGCAUACGUCCUACGGGAGAAAGCAGGGGACCUUCGGGCCUUGCGCUAUCAGAUGAGCCUAGGUCGGAUUAGCUAGUUGGUGAGGUAAUGGCUCACCAAGGCUACGAUCCGUAACUGGUCUGAGAGGAUGAUCAGCCACACCGGGACUGAGACACGGCCCGGACUCCUACGGGAGGCAGCAGUGGGGAAUAUUGGACAAUGGGGGAAACCCUGAUCCAGCCAUGCCGCGUGUGUGAAGAAGGCCUUUUGGUUGUAAAGCACUUUAAGCAGUGAAGAAGACUCCAUGGUUAAUACCCAUGGACGAUGACAUUAGCUGCAGAAUAAGCACCGGCUAACUCUGUGCCAGCAGCCGCGGUAAUACAGAGGGUGCAAGCGUUAAUCGGAAUUACUGGGCGUAAAGGGAGCGUAGGUGGCUCUAUAAGUCAGAUGUGAAAUCCCCGGGCUUAACCUGGGAACUGCAUCUGAAACUGUAGAGCUAGAGUAUGUGAGAGGAAGGUAGAAUUCCAGGUGUAGCGGUGAAAUGCGUAGAGAUCUGGAGGAAUACCGAUGGCGAAGGCAGCCUUCUGGCAUAAUACUGACACUGAGGCUCGAAAGCGUGGGUAGCAAACAGGAUUAGAUACCCUGGUAGUCCACGCCGUAAACGAUGUCUUACUAGUCGUUGGGUCCCUUGAGGACUUUAGUGACGCAGCCUAACGCAAAUAAAUUAGACCGCCUGGGGAGUACGGCCGGCAAGGUUAAAACUCAAAUGAAUUGACGGGGGGCCCCGCACAAGCCGGUGGAGCAUUGUGGUUUAAUUCGAUGGCAACGCGAAGAACUCUUACCCGGGUCUUUGACAAUAAUCUAGAAUCCUGCAAAGAUGCGGGGAGGUGCCCUUCGGGAAUUUAGAAUAA